AUUGAACGCUGGCGGCAGGCCUAACACAUGCAAGUCGAGCGAGCGGCGGACGGGUGAGUAAUGUCUAGGAAUCUGCCUGAUGGAGGGGGAUAACUACCGGAAACGGGCGCUAAUACCGCAUACUAUCAGAUGUGCCCAGGUGGGAUUAGCUAGUUGGUGGGGUAAAGGCUCACCUAGGCGACGAUCCCUAGCUGGUCUGAGAGGAUGACCAGCCACACUGGAACUGAGACACGGUCCAGACUCCUACGGGAGGCAGCAGUGGGGAAUAUUGCACAAGGGGCGAAAGCCUGAUGCAGCCAUGCCGCGUGUGUGAAGAAGGCCUUCGGAUUGUAAAGCACUUUAAGCGGGGAGGCGUUACUCGCAGAAGAAGCACCGGCUAACUCCGUGCCAGCCGCCGCGGUAAUAC
rnacentral:rRNA from 1 species